rnacentral:rRNA from 1 species
GAAGUGAAUAGUGAACCUGAAGGCUCAACCUUCAGACUAUUAUUCAACUCGUAUGCUCGAGAAUGGUAGAGGUAGCUGGAAUUUCUAGUGUAGGAGUGAAAUCCGUAGAUAUUAGAAGGAACACCAAUGGCGUAGGCAGGCUACUGGACCAUUUCUGACACUAAGGGCACGAAAGCGUGGGAGCGAACCGGAUUAGAUACCCGGGUAGUCCCAACGCCGUAAACGAUGGAUACUA